UACGUAGGGGGCAAGCGUUGUCCGGAAUUAUUGGGCGUAAAGAGCGCGCAGGCGGUCGUUCAAGUCGAGUGUGAAAGCCCCCGGCUCAACUGGGGAGGGUCAUUCGAUACUGAUCGACUUGAAGGCAGGAGAGGGAAGUGGAAUUCCCGGUGUAGUGGUGAAAUGCGUAGAUAUCGGGAGGAACACCUAUGGCGAAGGCAGCUCGCUGGGACGUUACUGACGCUGAGACGCGAAAGCGUGGGGAGCAAACAGG
rnacentral:rRNA from 1 species